UUUCACAUCAAAUAAUUGACACAGAUUUAUUUUCUUGAUAAACUUCAUUAUCAAUUUAGACAUUAAUUCUAGAGCUAAUAAAAUGUUUUAGAAAUCAUUGAAUCCAAAAAAAAAACUCAAGUUGCUCUGUUACAAUCUCCUCAGAUAUCAAUGAAUGUGCUAAUGGGGACCAUCAAUGUCAACAAAUCUGUGUUGAUGUGCCUGGAAAAUACAACUGUGAUUGUAACUAGGGGUAUAGAUUAAAUGAUGAUAGGCUAACAUGUCUACUAGUGAAAGAUGUAUGCAGUGAUUUUGAGAAACUGAACUGCUCUCAAGGAUGUACAGUAGACUUUCAACAGAACACUUCAUAUUGUUUUUGUGCUGAUGGUUACAAUCUAGUUGGCAAAGACACAUGUGAAGACAUCAAUGAAUGUGAAGUAUCAACAAAGAACUUGUGCAGCUUCAAGUCUGGAUGUGUUAACAGAGUACCAGAAUACAGCUGUUCAUGUCC